rnacentral:tRNA from 1 species
GCCUGGGUGGCUCAGUCGGUUGAGCGUCUGACUUCGGCUCAGGUCAUGAUCUCAUGGUCUGUGAGUUCGAGCCCCGCAUCAGGCU